rnacentral:rRNA from 1 species
GUGGGGAAUCUUGCGCAAUGGGCGAAAGCCUGACGCAGCCAUGCCGCGUGAAUGAUGAAGGUCUUAGGAUUGUAAAAUUCUUUCACCGGGGACGAUAAUGACGGUACCCGGAGAAGAAGCCACGGCUAACUUCGUGCCAGCAGCCGCGGUAAUACGAAGGGGGCUAGCGUUGCUCGGAAUUACUGGGCGUAAAGGGCGCGUAGGCGGACAGUUUAGUCAGAGGUGAAAGCCCAGGGCUCAACCUUGGAAUUGCCUUUGAUACUGGCUGUCUUGAGUACGGGAGAGGUGAGUGGAACUCCGAGUGUAGAGGUGAAAUUCGUAGAUAUUCGGAAGAACACCAGUGGCGAAGGCGACUCACUGGCCAGUUACUGACGCUGAGGCGCGAAAGCGUGGGGAGCAAACAGGAUUAGAAACCCUUGUAGUCC